rnacentral:piRNA from 1 species
UGUAUCACUUUGACAGCUUUU